AGCGAACGCUGGCGGCAGGCUUAACACAUGCAAGUCGAGCGGGCAUCCUUGUGGUGUCAGCGGCAGACGGGUGAGUAACGCGUGGGAACGUGCCCUUCGGUUCGGAAUAACUCAGGGAAACUUGAGCUAAUACCGGAUACGUGCGAGAGCAGAAAGGUUUAUCUGCCGAAGGAUCGGCCCGCGUCUGAUUAGCUAGUUGGUGAGGUUAUGGCUCACCAAGGCGUCGAUCAGUAGCUGGUCUGAGAGGAUGAUCAGCCACACUGGGACUGAGACACGGCCCAGACUCCUACGGGAGGCAGCAGUGGGGAAUAUUGGACAAUGGGGGCAACCCUGAUCCAGCCAUGCCGCGUGAGUGAUGACGGCCUUAGGGUUGUAAAGCUCUUUUCUUCGGGACGAUAAUGACGGUACCGGAGGAAUAAGCCCCGGCUAACUUCGUG
rnacentral:rRNA from 1 species